rnacentral:rRNA from 1 species
AUUGAUCGCUGGCGGCAUGCCUAACACAUGCAAGUCGAACGGCAGCACAGUAUGUAGCAAUACAUAUGGGUGGCGAGUGGCGGACGGGUGCGUAGUAUGUAGGGAUCUGCCCUGAAGCGGGGGACAACCCGGGGAAACCCGGGCUAAUACCGCAUAAUACUCUACGGAGGAAAUCUGGCACGCAAGUGCUGGGGCUUUAGGAUGAACCUACAUCCGAUUAGCUAGUUGGUGAGGUAAUAGCUCACCAAGGCAAUGAUCGGUAGCUUGUCUGAGAGGAUGACCAGCCACACUGGGACUGAGACACGGCCCAGACUCCUACGGGAGGCAGCAGUGGGGAAUAUUGGACAAUGGGGGAAACCCUGAUCCAGCAAUGCCGCGUGGGUGAAGAAGGCCUUCGGGUUGUAAAGCCCUUUAGGCGGGGAAGAAGGUUAUAGGGUGAUAAGCCUUAUAGCUUGACGGUACCCGCAGAAUAAGCACCGGCUAACUCUGUGCCAGCAGCCGCCGUAA